AGUGAACGCUGGCGGUAGGCCUAACACAUGCAAGUCGAACGGCAGCACAGAGGAGCUUGCUCCUUGGGUGGCGAGUGGCGGACGGGUGAGGAAUACAUCGGAAUCUACUCUGUCGUGGGGGAUAACGUAGGGAAACUUACGCUAAUACCGCAUACGACCUACGGGUGAAAGCAGGGGACCUUCGGGCCUUGCGCGAUUGAAUGAGCCGAUGUCGGAUUAGCUAGUUGGCGGGGUAAAGGCCCACCAAGGCGACGAUCCGUAGCUGGUCUGAGAGGAUGAUCAGCCCCACUGGAACUGAGACACGGUCCAGAAUCCUACGGGAGGCAGCAGUGGGGAAUAUUGGACAAUGGGCGCAAGCCUGAUCCAGCCAUACCGCGUGGGUGAAGAAGGCCUUCGGGUUGUAAAGCCCUUUUGUUGGGAAAGAAAUCCAGCUGGCUAAUACCCGGUUGGGAUGACGGUACCCAAAGAAUAAGCACCGGCUAACUUCGUGCCAGCAGCCGCAGUAACAC
rnacentral:rRNA from 1 species